GAACAUUUAAAAAAUAAUUUUUUAAACAUUUUAGAACAGAAUUCACAAUACCGUGAUUUUUUUAUCCAAGGUUUUAUACCAUCAGAAUCAUAUACAGGCCCAUGCCUACUUUAAAUACAUUUCAUGAUGUUAGCUGACUUAGAUCACAUAUUGUGUCACCUACAUGAUGUAGUUAUAAAUGAUUUAUUAUACCAAUCAGUGUAAAUUAAUCAAAUUUCUCUGUUUAUUGCUCUGAACUCCAUCAGUGAAAGACAAAGACAAAGAGUUUAUUGAAGGACAGUGAGAAGAUGAGUGAUCCAGAACCCUGCAGAAUUAAACAGGAAGAGACUGAAGAACUAAUAGAAUAUGGCAUGCUGUUUUUUUAAUGAAGUACAGUUAAAACUUUAAAACUGUCCAGUAUGUGGUGGUAAAGGAGGAGAGCGAAGAACUGAGUGAAGAUGAGGAGAAACAUGUCAAGAGUGAAAAUGAAACUCACACAAACACUGAACAUAGGUGCACCUGCACUCAGUGUGGAAAGAGUUUUGGGCGAAAAUACGGUCUCAUAGUUCACAUGAGGAUCCACACUGAAAAGAAACCUUACAAGUGUUCACGCUGCGACAAGAGAUUCAGUAAGUCGAAACAUCUGAGAGCACACAAGAAGAU
ensembl:processed_transcript